UACGUAGGGGGCGAGCGUUGUCCGAAGUUACUGGGCGUAAAGCGCGCGUAGGCGGGCUGUUAAGUGAGAGGUGAAAGGCUGGGGCUCAACUCCAGCAGUGCCUCUCAUACUGGCAGUCUUGAGGGCGGUAGAGAGAAGUGGAAUGGCUGGUGUAGCGGUGAAAUGCGUAGAUAUCAGUCGGAACACCGGUGGCGAAGGCAGCCUCCUGGGCCAGCACUGACGCUCAUGCACGAAAGCGUGGGGAGCAAACAGG
rnacentral:rRNA from 1 species